GUGUCCCUUUAGAUACCUGCUGCCCCCCAGUGCUAACCACUGAGCUACCACUACCCUUUGAGGCACCGUGCUAACCACUGAGCUACCACUACCCUUUAAGCCACCCUGCUGCCCACCAGUGCUAACCACUGAG